rnacentral:lncRNA from 1 species
GCAGAUGCCCUAAGACGGGGGUGUGAGGAGCCCACGAUUCUCCAGCUACCACCUCCAGGUGGGACGACUCUAGUGGUUCGUAUUGAAGAUGCCAAGCCUUGUCCCGAGCGCAGGAUGUAAUUUCUCAUUGAACCCUUUGAGCAGCCUGGCCAGGCAGUCGCCUACAUUCUCACCAUUGAACAGGUGGGGAAGCUGAGGCUUAGAGAGCUCGUGUGACUGUUAGCUGUUCAGGCUGGGAUCCUGGCUGAUUCCAGUGCUGGGGCCCUUCACCAUUAACUGACACCGGCUGUAUACCCUGCCAUGAGCUGCCUUAGGCUGGAGUUGGUCAGGCGCCGUGCCCCAAACCCUUGCUCUAGAGUAUUAGGAAAGGAAUUCGUGGGAAAGAGGACGGGCGCUCUGACAAUGAGCCUGACAAAGGCCUGAACCCUUGAACACGUGGUCGGUACCCUCCUCUGCCUCUCCCCACCCCACCUCAAUCGCUUCUCCCUGGGAGCUGGGCUGGUCUCCUCUGUCCGACUCUUCCCCCUCCGAGGCCAUCCCGUGCUCAUCUCAGCCAGGUUCCCCGGGAGGUGGAGGUGCCCCUGCCACCAGCUCUCUGUCAUCAGUACCUGGCUGUGGGACCGCCUGGCUAGGCCACAGCAGAGGAUGGGGGGAUGGCGCAGGCCUUCCCAGAGGAACGAGGACAGCCCGGUGACAGGGUGAAGCCAGGCCUGAGGGCCCUGGUGGUGGCCCACCCCCGCUCUGCCCUCGGGACCCCUCCCCGUGGCCUCCAGAACUGGUACCCUUUCCUCGUCAGCGACAGCGCAGGUAUUUCUCUUUGUGCUGAAGGGGUCUUCUGAGACCCUCUGACCAUGAGCGUGUAAGUGUGGUUUCUGGAAUCUGGCUGGAAACCGCUCCCCUCCCCUGCCGGCCUCACAGCCCUGGACUCUCUGUGGGUUGCAGUCUGGGUGAAGGUGAACCGGCAGGCCCUUCUCCGCUCCCUCUCCAGAGCCAGAGGGCAGUGGCCUGUGACCAGCCGCCUCUCCCCAUGUGCAUGUGACAGACUGGCAGGGGUGGCCUGCCCCCGCCGCCCCCAUGCCUGCUGUGCCCUCUGUGUGUGUAGGGGGCUUAGGGAUGGAGCCCAUGUGCCAGAGAUCAUGGUCGGACCAGCCUGCCCCCACAGUGUCUGCCCCCAACAGGACAGGAAGGUGGCUUGGCACAGGAGGAAGGCAGUAGUGUCAACGGGCUGGGACGCAGAGGCAGGUGGACUGGGUGGCCUCGGCGUGAAGCCAGAGGGCAUGAGGGCUGCCCAAGGCCACGCCUGCUAGCCUGAAUCUGAGGUAAGCGGCAGGGUCCCAGCUCCAGCUGCACUCGAGAUGCCUCUGGCUGCCCAUCUGGGGGCCUGGGGUGUCCUGGGCUGAUGGAGGGUCACAGUGAGGGAGAGGGGGUGUCCUUGCACAUCCUGAUGGGGCUCUCCUGGCAGAACCUCACCUCCAACCACACACACCCUUCUUUACAGGCUGGCUUUGGGGCUCUUCUUCAGAAAAAGUGGUGUCACUGCCUUUCCAUCUGAACCUGCAUCCUCUAAACCCCUAUCUUCACUGAUCAGACACCCCACACCCAGUUUCUCAUUUUCAGGAUGAUUCUGCAGGUCUAGAGCUUAAAAUCUGCUGCUUUCUGAAAAGGCGCUUUCUGUCUCCCCUGGGAAGUGGCCGACACCUGCCUCGUGAUUCCACAGGACACCUUUGGCUACUUAGAGCUGAAAGGGGCCGAAGGAGAGGCCCCAGGGUCUGAGACAAACAGGGUGCUUGGAGAAAGCUGCGGGGGCUGUGCGGGGAGCACCGCAGUAUUCCUGUUGGGGGUGGGGGCGGUAGAAGAGCGAUGGGAAACCAGGGGCGGGGCCUGGGGGGGGGGUGGGGGAUUCCAGAGACCUGGCUAAAGAUGCUGGGGGCACACCAUCACGGGCAGAGCUGGUCUCAGUGGGAGCUGGAGCCUGGGUCAGCGGCUGCCCCCGGGGUUGCUGUCCCAAGGGUUCUGAGGGCGUCUCUAUGUGGCCUAUGGGAGGCCUGCUUAGCGCAGGUGCUGCUUGCUCCACACAACACUGUUGAGGGGUCACAGAGGCCUGAGCCUCUAUCUGCUGGAUGAGGAACUUCUUCGGAAGAGCCCGUAGGCCCUCACCCAGAGCAGGGCUGGUGGCCGGGGAGGGGGAGUGGGCAUGUCCAGAAAAGGGUCUUUGCGGGCCACCUGCCAUCAGGGCACCCAGGGCUGCGGCCGACACCUGUGGUUUGGACACAAUGGCCCCUGAAAGGUCAGCUACCACUUGCCUGCCACCCCCUUUGGGGACCCUAUCCAGUCAAAGGGCUGCUUUCUUCCCUUUAUGGAGUGGUUCCUUCCAGAUGCCCAUGAAGGCCCUGACACGUGCAGGGCACGGCGGGAGAAGGCAAACAGGGCAGAGCUCUGCUUUCAGCCCUAACAUGAGGCAAAAGGCCCGUGCACGUGAAGAAGGAGGCUCAGCAUGUGGGCUCCUGGGUGGGGCCGUCCUGCAGUCAGGGGCCCUCGAGCAAGUGGCCCUGAACUAGGCCUUGAGGUUCCGUGUGGGCCACGGACUGGCAGACCAGGGGACGAGGAUCCUGGGGGAUGGGGCCGCGUGAGAAAGGCCUGAGGAGUCACAGUUAAAAUGACCCAGCUCAAGUAAUUAGGGAUUCGAACUAGUACCUCAAGUCAAUAAGGGCGUGGCAGAGGCUCCCAAGUGCUGGCCGCAGGCCUGGCAUCAAGGGAGCUUGCUGGCAAAUGCUGGUAACUGCUGCUAAAUUCCGGAUAAACGCUGGUCAAUGGCAUCUGUUAUCACUAAAGGAGCCAACAAACGGCAAAAGGCCACCUGAGUUUUGAAGCCUAUUUUGGAGCCAACCCAGGUGCCCUUUGGCACCCUUCCUGCCCUUCCACCCCUUCCUUUCUCCCACGGGCAGGGCUGGACCCCAGGUGGACUGAACCCCUCCUGAGCUGAGACCCUGCGUGAUGAUGGUUUAUGAUGUCCUUUCACCUUUGCCAGGCUCUUUCCAUGGGUGUGUGUGCGUGGGUGUGUGUGUGAUACCAGGAGAGGGUCAGGGACAAGCUCCUAUGAAACCUGGGGGCUGCUUUAGUCUCUGGAGAGAUGAUGUCACUGCCCAAGGAGAAUCCUUUUGGUUACUCCGUGGGUGCUCGGCCCCCAUGCACUUUAGAAUGUUCCAGAACCCCGAUGAGGAAGCCCCACCCUGAUCACAACUCAGGGAAGCCAGGGCGUCUUCCAAAGGACCAUCUGGGAUCCCAAACCUGCUCCCUCUCCGGAGAUGUGGCCCUGUCACCUACCCAGAUGUUAAUCUCCUCACCUGCGUUGGGACUCCCCUCCUACACGAAUCCAGGUGACCUCGGCUCAUCUCAUCCUCAGGACUCCCUCUCCCCUCCCUCCCCUCCUCCCCUAGGCCCUCUUCUUGCCUGUUGCCAGUUAUUUCAUUCACCUGUCAAUGCCUGGCCCCCUGCCAGGACUCUCCUUCCAGGCCAUUCUCCAAAGAGCUAAGGAAAAAUCUUUCAGGAAUGCAGACCCAUUGCCAGAGUUCCCCUUAGAGACUUUGCCUUACCUUCUAGAUAAAACCUCAGUUCCUUAGCCAAGGAUGCCUCCUCUCUGGGCUCCGCUUAGCCCUCUCCUCCCCUGGCCACUUCCCCAACCUGGGGGCCCAGGUCCACUGAAGUCACCCCCUGAAACCCCUGGGCCUUGCUUUCUUGGAACCCACACACCUUCAGACCUGCUCCCUCCACCUCGGACUCCCCUCCCCCACCAACUCCUACUCACCUGGAAUUGUAUUUUCAGUGUUUAUAUCACUAUACAGUUUUUUAUUUUAAUUAUUUAAAUUUUUUUUUAUUGUUUUGGCCGCCCUGAAGCACAUGGAGUUUCCCUGGCCAGGGAUGAGAUCCAAGCCGCAGUUGCAACCUAAGCCACAGCUGUGGCAACACCAGAUCCUUAACCCGCUGUGCUGGGCCAGAGAUCGAACCUGCAUCCCAGCGCUCUCAAGAUGUCACUGAUCCCACUGCGCCACAGCAGGAACUCCUUGGCCUGGAGUGGAAAUGUCUAUUGCGUUUGCUGGUGCGAUGCACUUGGCAAUAGCCCCAUGUCUAUUGGGACAAAGCGUGGUGGCUCUGCUCAGAGUCCCCGCCUGGGGAUGCCUUCCUCCUUCCCCCUUGGCAUGCUUUCCACCUGGGCUCCCCGGUGCCUCUGCUGUGCGCACAGGUAGUUAGACCUGUAAUUCUUCAUGCCUGUUGGUCUCUCAAUGUUUUAUCCUCAGUACUCAGCAGUUCCUCAGCUAUGUUGGGUGCUUACUAAAGAUGUUAAUUAAAAUAUUU